rnacentral:rRNA from 1 species
UUGAACGCUGGCGGCAUGCCUUACACAUGCAAGUCGAACGGUAACAGGUCUUCGGAUGCUGACGAGUGGCGAACGGGUGAGUAAUACAUCGGAACGUGCCCGAUCGUGGGGGAUAACGCAGCGAAAGCUGUGCUAAUACCGCAUACGAUCUACGGAUGAAAGCGGGGGAUCGCAAGACCUCGCGCGAUAGGAGCGGCCGAUAUCGGAUUAGCUAGUUGGUGAGGUAAAGGCUCACCAAGGCGACGAUCCGUAGCUGGUCUGAGAGGACGACCAGCCACACUGGAACUGAGACACGGUCCAGACUCCUACGGGAGGCAGCAGUGGGGAAUUUUGGACAAUGGGGGAAACCCUGAUCCAGCCAUUCCGCGUGAGUGAAGAAGGCCUUCGGGUUGUAAAGCUCUUUCGGCAGGAACGAAACGGUAAGGGCUAAUAUCCUUUGCUAAUGACGGUACCUGAAGAAGAAGCACCGGCUAACUACGU